AGAAAACCACGUGAAAGGAAGCUGUGAAGUCCGAGUGUCCAGAGAUGUUGAGGAGUCAUGAGCUUCUCCGGACUUGCCUGGUGGUCCAGUGAUUAGGACUCCGCCCUUCAAUGCAGGAGACACAGGUUUGAUCCCUGGCCGCGGGACUAGAUCCUACAUGCUGCUCAGUGCAGCCAAAUAAAUAAGUUUUUAAAAAGUCAUGAGCUCCCCACCCCCAAUUUUUUUUUUCUAUAAUUAAAGCGGAUUGAGCCCCCUUGACAUGAGUUCCCUUCCCUUUCUUCAUCCCUGUUUUGAGAUGCUCUGGCUGCCGUAUCUCCCGGCCUCUUCCCUCCUCAGCCCAGAGCUGCCGGCUGGCCUGUUUCAAGCUCUCAGCUCUCCAGUUGGAACCAGCCUGUUGUUCCAUGUCCAGUUCUAACUGUUGCUUCCUGACCUGCAUACAGAUUUCUCAAGAGGCAGGUCCUGCUCAAUUGCCACUUCUUCCAGGAAGACAUUGCUGAUUUCUCAGCCAGAGGUAACUGCUUCCAGUUCAUCAUUCCCAAAUUACUUCAGGAUGUUCUUGCCUCAUUUCAUGUAAUUUUGUAGGAACCUUUCCUGCAAAACUAGAGUUCCCCCCAUCCGCUGCCAAAGACUCAACGUGUUGUGAGACCUUAUAUACUGGAGGUAAUUAAUAUUUGUCAAAUAAGGUCAGAAUUUUAAUCUGUCAUUUUAAUCUCCUCUACUUCGUAUAAUUACGAUGAUAAAUGGAAAAGCGUGGAAAACGUCUAAGCUAGAGAAAAGUUUAUACCCAAGCACUCUAAACUGCUUUUAAUAUUUCGGAAUUGACAUAUAAGACUAAAAAGAAACUAUCCCAAAAUGCAGUGGUGGGGUAGGAUUAGAAUUCAAUGUUAACCAAUGUAAAUAGGAAUUCAAGGGAGAAUUACCAAACCGGACUCAUUUACAUGUGUAAUUACCCACCUGUGAUCAUUCUAUUGUCUUAUCUAUUCCAUUUUCCCCCUCCUACCUCAAGUUAAAAAUACUCACAUCUUUUUUUCUUUCUAACCAAAUACAAUAAAUUCUUGGAAUUGGGUGUGGGAUGUGGAUGCAACUCUACCACCUGAAGCAAGAUGAAAAUGGGCCACACGUGUGCAGUCGGUGUGUGGGGGGAGCCGAGCAGAUAAACUUCUAAGCCAUGCUCAAAUAUGCAAGAGGAUGUGUGGAAAUAAACAGCAUUGGAAACAUCUUGCUGCUUCCAGCCAUCGGGAAAGCCGUGAAAGAAAACCACAACUCUUAUUAUAAUGUGGAAAUCCACAAAGCACAGGCCUAUGGCAACCUGAGAUUGCUGCUUCCUUUGACAAGAAGGUAUUUGAUAGUAGGAAGGUGUCAGUGGCUUUGCCUUCUUAAGAAACUCUUUUGGGGGGAGGAAAGGAUCUCUCAGAGCUUGAGGAGAGAGGCUCUUGAGCUUGAAGAAGCAAAAGGAAAGUGGUUGUUCCUUAGUGUUUGGAGGGGGAAGGCCCCAGGGUGCCUGUGGGCCCUGCAGUGCAGGGCUCUGAUGGAACCUCCCUGGCUUACCCAGAGGGCAGGGGCCUUCCCACGAGACCCUGGCACUCACAGCGUGGGCGUUACCUCCUAGAUCCUGCCAGGUCUGCUCUGAAUUUAACAAGGCCCGGGUGAUCUGCUGGCAUGUUCACAUUGGAGCUGUGCUGCUUAGAGGGCGGG
ensembl:lncRNA